AGCUUGCUAAGGCUGAUGGCGACCGGCGCACGGGUGAGUAACACGUAUCCAACCUGCCGUCUACUCUUGGCCAGCCUUCUGAAAGGAAGAUUAAUCCAGGAUGGGAUCAUGAGUUCACAUGUCCGCAUGAUUAAAGGUAUUUUCCGGUAGACGAUGGGGAUGCGUUCCAUUAGAUAGUAAGCGGGGUAACGGCCCACCUAGUCAACGAUGGAUAGGGGUUCUGAGAGGAAGGUCCCCCACAUUGGAACUGAGACACGGUCCAAACUCCUACGGGAGGCAGCAGUGAGGAAUAUUUGGUCAAUGGGCGAUGGCCUGAACCAGCCAAGUAGCGUGAAGGAUGACUGCCCUAUGGGUUGUAAACUUCUUUUAUAAAGGAAUAAAGUCGGGUAUGCAUACCCGUUUGCAUGUACUUUAUGAAUAAGGAUCGGCUAACUCCGUGCCAGCAGCCGCGGUAAUACGGAGGAUCCGAGCGUUAUCCGGAUUUAUUGGGUUUAAAGGGAGCGUAGAUGGAUGUUUAAGUCAGUUGUGAAAGUUUGCGGCUCAACCGUAAAAUUGCAGUUGAUACUGGAUGUCUUGAGUGCAGUUGAGGCAGGCGGAAUUCGUGGUGUAGCGGUGAAAUGCUUAGAUAUCACGAAGAACUCCGAUUGCGAAGGCAGCCUGCUAAGCUGCA
rnacentral:rRNA from 1 species